ACAGCUGUACUGAGGUAACCAGAAAACUGCGUUUUUUGCGUCGAUCUGAUCUUCAAACUCGGUUUUUAAAACGAUGGACAUGUUGGACAUGUUAUUACAACAAACAGACUGUCGACAUUCCGAGAGAGAGUGAAUAUCUUGGUUCUCAGUGAGGUUACUACCAAAUCUGUCUCUAUGAAACUGCGGCGCAAGACAGUCCUGAGAAGCAGAAGGCUUCAACAGCAAGAGCAUGUGAAGGACUCUGUGGUGCUGAGUGACACUGACUCUAGUGUGGAGGAUAUAAAAGACAAUGUGUCUGUUAUUCGUGAUAUGAAGAGGCCAGUAAGGAAGAGUAGAGCUGGUGCAUCAUGUCGAGCGAGAAAAGAAUAUGAGAGACAGCUUUCUGAUGUGGAACCACAGCAUGGAGCGGUUCAGAAGAUCUCCCUGGCUCCAGAUGCUAUCGCUGAGGACACUCUAGGGAAACUCAGGCUGAGGGCUAACACCUCUGAGACCAAGACUGAGGUUGAGUCUCGAGGAGAGCUUGAGUCUGUUUUGGAAGAAUCCAGUACCGAUCUCAUGGUGGAAUCGGGUCCCAGCUCGCCCUCUUGUCAUGUUUAUACUGUAAGAUGCAGAGAAUGCCAGAGACUUUUCGCCAAGAUGAGAAAACAGCCGACCCCAAAACAGAAAAGCAAAGAUACAAAUCCAGCAUCUUUAUCUUGUGAUGUGUGGGUUCUGCUUAAGAAGUGGCACCCUCAGAGACGCCACCAUCGGGAGAAGGGAUUAUUGUGGACAAGCCUGAGUCGGAUCAGGAAGCUGUUAGCAGGAGGCUCUGAUUCUUCAGUCAUCAACACAGCUCAAGCAAACUGCUCCAGACCUCAUGUGUUUCAGCAGAGACACUGAAGAUGCUGCUCAUUAUACUGGCAAAUUGUGAAAAUCAAAAAUUUGCGUCGCUGCAAGGAUCUGCUCUCCAUUCAGACCAACCUGUCCAUUAACAAAGCCAAACCACGGCAUCGUAAGAGGUCACGAUCUGUGGUCUGGCCGCCCAUCGCUGGCUGGCAGUCUUCUGUGAAAAGGAAGCCUUCCUUGAACAGCACAUUAUCUCAGCAGCUUUAUCCACUCGACCUUAGUGUGAAGCAGAAGGACAAACUUCUUGUAGAUGACAAGAUUUCAAGAUUAAAUGCAGAUUUGAAGCAGAACUCAGAGGUCUCUAGCAAACAGAGGACGACUUAUGUCCGGGGUAAAUCGAACAAGCAGGAAGUGUCUGAUGGCAUAGAUGGAACGCGGCGGGUGCUGAAGUUUGAUGACACCACUAAAACUGUUGCUGUGGAAACAGCGGAACAGAGGAAAAGCCCUCGGCAGAAGCACAAACGUGGAGAGAUUCGUCAAGCUCAGAACGGUUUCCAGAAUGAGCAGCAGGAAGAGAUUUCUGAGGAUUUGGAUGGGUUCAGGACACCCACAGAUCUGUUCAGCGUGAAGCCCAAGAUUAAACGAGGGAACCAGAAGAAAGUGUCUGCGUCUGGUGUUACAAAACCUGCCGUACAGAAGCCCAACUUCAUGUCAAUGUUAUCCACACUGGUGAAGAAUCAGAACCAGAUUAUUAAGGAAUCCUGCAAAUGAGUCUCUAUUGAAGUUUUGUAAUUAGGGCUUUUAGUCAUUUUGUUUAAUUGAAGAGACACGUCACAACUGUAAAGGUUUGCUAAUUCUGUUAAUAGAUAUCAUCAAAAGUCUGCUGAUGUUUAUUUAUUGUUCCAGUUGUUUGUGUUCUAACAUUAGCAUUUGCAUGAGUAAAUAAGUCUUGUUUUAGUAUGCUGUUGACUUCACAGUGGCUUGAACCGCAGUUACUGUAAUAACCACAGAGCGGAGCUGUUUCCAAAUAAACUUGCAUAUCUUCACUCCUAUAUUUUUAAAUAUUACAAUAUAUGACUUAAAAAAUAUAUUUUCUCACACUUUUAUCAAACUGAUUUAAGGUGAUGGUAAGCGAAACGUGUGUGGAUUUUUAUUUUUUGUGGGUUAAAUUUUCAAUAGCUUUUUGCUACCAAGCCACCCUGAGAAACAUUCACUGGAUCUUAGACUAUCCCAAUUAACUAUCCCAAUAUUUAUAACAAAUAAAUAAUAAUAAAAAAAAAAUCUUAAUAUAAUACUAUGGAAAUGUUAUAUUUACAUAAAAUUUAUUUUAUUUUUGCAGGGUCUCAUGAUGAUAAAAGAGCCAAAAUGCUUCAGAAUAACUUUUUUAACUCGAAAAUAAAAACUGCCCACAAGGCAAGUCUUCUGCUGUUUUAACACUCAGUGGUUUUAAAUUGAUUUACAUACAUAAAAAGCUUUAAAGUGUGAUGUGUGCUGUUAUUGGUGCUGAUGUUGAGGGGUUGGGCUCAGUGACUCCACUGUCACAACCUAAAAGCGCACUGAUCCAUCACACAACAUCACUUUAGGAAGAGCGAGCGGGCAAGGAUGCAGCAAAACCGGACUUUUACCCAGGGGACUGCUUAGAGAGCAGUUUUAUUAUUGUUAUUAUUAUAAUUUUCUUUUAGAUGGACAAUCACAUCCACACAUAAUCGUGUUAAGGUUAUGUGAGUGUUGCAGAGGAAAGCCAUGCAACCAAAUGAGCAGAGCUAAGAGGAUUUAAUGCAGCUGGACAUGAACCACGCUGAGUAAAGAAGAAGAUUAUAUUCUUUUAAUCAAAUGCAAAGAAGUUUUUAUUGCUGGUCACUUUGAGUUUGGACUGUCGAGGAGCGAUGUUUGUCUUCAUCUCUUUGUGCACUCCGAUAACUACACUAUAAGUAUGCUCACUGCACAGAGAUGUAUGGGUUCAACUCUACAGUAAAGGG
ensembl:lncRNA